rnacentral:rRNA from 1 species
UACGAAGGGGGCUAGCGUUGCUCGGAAUCACUGGGCGUAAAGGGUGCGUAGGCGGGUCUUUUAAGUCAGGGGUGAAAUCCUGGAGCUCAACUCCAGAACUGCCUUUGAUACUGAAGAUCUUGAGUUCGGGAGAGGUGAGUGGAACUGCGAGUGUAGAGGUGAAAUUCGUAGAUAUUCGUCAAGAACACCAGUGGCGAAGGCGCUCACUGGCCCGAUACUGACGCUGAGGCACGAAGGCCAGGGGAGCAAACGGGG